GUGGGGAGUAUUGGACAAUGGGGGCAACCCUGAUCCAGCAAUGCCGCGUGGGUGAUGAAGGCCUUCGGGUUGUAAAGCCCUUUCGGCGGGGACGAUGAUGACGGUACCCGCAGAAGAAGCCCCGGCUAACUUCGUGCCAGCAGCCGCGGUAAUACGAAGGGGGCUAGCGUUGUUCGGAAUGACUGGGCGUAAAGGGCGCGUAGGCGGCGAUUUUAGUCAGGCGUGAAAGCCCUGGGCUCAACCUAGGAACUGCGUUUGAUACUGGAUCGCUUGAGUGUGGGAGAGGAUGGUGGAAUUCCCAGUGUAGAGGUGAAAUUCGUAGAUAUUGGGAAGAACACCGGUGGCGAAGGCGGCCAUCUGGACCACUACUGACGCUGAGGCGCGAAAGCGUGGGGAGCAAACAGGAUUAGAAACCCUAGUAGUCC
rnacentral:rRNA from 1 species